UAGGGAAUAUUGCAAAAUGGGCGAAAGCCCGAUGCAGCAACGCCGCGUGGGCGAUGAAGGCCUUCGGGUCGUAAAGCCCUUUUUGAGGGGAUGAGGAAGGACAGUACCCUCAGAAUAAGCCUCGGCUAACUACGUGCCAGCAGCCGCGGUAAAACGUAGGAGGCGAGCGUUAUCCGGAUUUACUGGGCGUAAAGCGCGUGCAGGCGGAUUGGAGAGUUGGAUGUGAAAGCUCCCGGCUUAACUGGGAGAGGUCGUUCAAUACUUCCAGUCUUGAGUGCAGUAGAAGGAAGUGGAAUUCCGGGUGUAGUGGGGAAAUGCGUAGAUAUCCGGAGGAACACCAGUGGCGAAAGCGGCUUCCUGGACUGUAACUGACGCUCAGACGCGAAAGCUAGGGUAGCAAAC
rnacentral:rRNA from 1 species